UACGGAGAGUGCAAACGUUGUUCGGAAUUACUGGGCGUAAAGCGCGUGUAGGCUGCUUGGAAAGUCGGAUGUGAAAGCCCUGGGCUCAACCUAGGAAGUGCAUUCGAAACUUCUGAGCUGGAGUGCUGGAGAGGAAGGCGGAAUUCUCGGUGUAGAGGUGAAAUUCGUAGAUAUCGAGAGGAACACCGGUGGCGAAGGCGGCCUUCUGGACAGUAACUGACGCUGAGACGCGAAAGCGUGGGGAGCAAACAGG
rnacentral:rRNA from 1 species